rnacentral:rRNA from 1 species
UACGAAGGGUGCAAGCGUUACUCGGAAUUACUGGGCGUAAAGCGUGCGUAGGUGGUUUGUUAAGUCUGAUGUGAAAGCCCCGGGCUCAACCUGGGAAUUGCAUUCGAGACUGCGUAGCUAGGGUGCGGAAGAGGGAAGCGGAAUUUCCGGUGUAGCGGUGAAAUGCGUAGAUAUCGGAAGGAACACCAGUGGCGAAAGCGGCUUCCUGGUCCAGCACCGACGUUCAGGCACGAAAGCGUGGGGAGCAAACAGG